rnacentral:rRNA from 1 species
GAUGAACGCUGGCGGCGUGCCUAAUACAUGCAAGUCGAACGCAUUUUCUUUCAACGUAGCUUGCUACACCUAAAGAAAGUCAGUGGCGAACGGGUUAGUAACACGUCGUUAACCUGCCCAUCAGCGGGGGAUAACACUUGGAAACAGGUGCUAAUACCGCAUAAUUCCAUUUACCGCAGGGUAGAUGGAUUAAAGGCUCUUUUGCAUCACUGAUCGAUGUACCCGCGGUGCAUUAUCAAGUUGGUGGGGUAACGGCCUACCAAGGCUGCCAGGCAUAGCCGGACCGGGGAGGUUGACCGCCCACACGGGAACGGGAACACGGCCCAGACUCCAAGGGGAGGCAGAGUAGGGAAACUUUGGCCAAGGGGCGAAGGCCGGACGAGGCAAGGCGGCGGAGGUGAGGAGGGUCUUCGGUUGGUAAAACACUUUGUUAGGGAAGGAAAAGGAUGAGAGUGGAAAGUUCAUGUCUUGACGGUACCUAAACAGAAAGCCACGGCUAACUACGUG